rnacentral:rRNA from 1 species
AUACGUAGGUGACAAGCGUUAUCCGGAUUUACUGGGCGUAAAGGGCGUGUAGGCGGUCUUGCAAGUCAGAAGUGAAAUUCCUGAGCUCAACUCGGGCGCUGCUUCUGAAACUGCAGGACUUGAGUGCUGGAGGGGAUAGCGGAAUUCCUAGUGGAGCGGUAAAAUGCGCAGAUAUUAGGAAGAACACCGGUGGCGAAGGCGGAUAUCUGGACAGUAACAGACGCUAAGGCACGAAAGCGUGGGGAGCAGACGGGAUUAGACACCCUGGUGCUCCACGCCGUAAACGAUGAAGACUAGGUGUAGGGGGUAUCGACUCCCUCUGUGCCGCAGUUAACACAAUAAGUAGUCCGCCUGGGGAGUCCGGCCGCAAGGUUGAAACUCAAAGGAAUUGACGGGG